ACAAUUAAGGCACUUUCACACAAACACUCCCACAAAGUAAUGCUCGGGCAGUGUUUGGUAAGCCAGACGCGAUUUUUCCCUCUCGCUCGAUCAUUUUCUCUCCUCUCUCUCGUCGUCUCUGCUGCAUCCACUCCUAAACCCUCCAUCUCCUUCCUCUUCUCUUCAGUUCCCAAAUCUUCAAUGUCUGAACGCCGUUCCAUCAACGAUGUUCUUAUGGCCUCCGCUCGAGCCGCUGCUUCUCGCAAAAAAGUUCGUCCUCCUUCGCCCAAGAAAUCCAAAACCCUAGACGACGAAGGCAUUAAAUAUCUAUCAGAAAACAACCAACAACAAUCCGAAGAACAGUCGUCCAACAAGGCGAAGACGGCCAUGAAAGAUCGGUCUCUCAGUUUGGACGACCGCAUUGCCCAAUUGAAGAAGAAGGCGUCGGAUUUUAAACCGAAAUCCGCUGCAUUCUGGAAAGAUGGAGAACACGUCCCAUUUCUGUUUCUUGCUCGUGCGUUUGAUUUUAUUAGUCAAGAGAAGGGUCGAAUUGCCACUACGGAGCUUCUCUGUAAUGUUUUCCGGACUGUGAUGGCUACUACCCCAGGUGAUUUGAUUUCUGUUGUUUAUCUUUCCGCGAAUAAGGUUGCUCCAUCUCACGAGGGCGUUGAGCUUGGGCUUGGAGAUUCUGCCCUAAAUAAAGUUCUCGCUGAAGCGUAUGGAAGGAGUGAAGCACAAAUCAAGAAACAGACAGAGGAACUGGGAGACUUGGGUCUUGUUGCAAAAGCAAGUCGUUCAUCUCAAAGUUUGAUGUUCAAGCCUAAACCUUUAACUGUUGCAAGGGUUUUUGAUACAUUUCGCACCAUUGCUAAGGAAUCUGGGAAGGACAGUCAAGAUAAGAAAAGAAGACAUAUCAGGGAGCUUCUUAUUGCAGCUACUGAUUGUGAACCUCAAUAUUUAAUUCGUCUAUUGCAGUCAAAGCUACGAAUUGGUUUGGCAGAGCAGACUCUCCUGGUGGCUCUGGGACAUGCUGCCGUUUAUUCUGAAGAACAAUCUACACCUUCUUCACAAAUUCAAUCUCGUCUUGAAGAGGCUGCCAAAAUUGUCAAACAAGUAUAUUCUGUAGUUCCUAAUUAUGACAGAAUUGUAUCCGCUCUUCUUGGUGACGGUGUAUGGAAGCUUUCAGAGACAUGUUGCUUUACAUUGGGUGUUCCAGUUGGACCUAUGUUAGCUAAACCAACCAAAGGGGUAUCAGAGAUUUUGGAUAAAUUCCAGGGUAUGGAAUUCACUUGUGAAUACAAGUAUGAUGGAGAACGUGCACAGAUACAUUACAUGGAGGAUGGUUCUGUUGAGAUAUAUAGUCGAAAUGCGGAACGGAAUACGGCAAAGUUUCCUGAUGUUGUCCUUGCAGUUACAAGAGUGAAGAAGUCCUCUGUGAAAUCAUUUGUUCUCGACUGUGAAGUUGUUGCUUAUGACCGUGAAAAACAGAAGAUUCAACCUUUCCAGAUCCUCAGUACUCGUGCUCGUAAAGGGGUGACCUUGAGUGACGUGAAAGUCGAUGUUUGCAUCUUUGCUUUUGAUUUAUUGUACAUCAAUGGACGGCCAUUACUUCCAGAGCAGCUUAAUAUUCGUAGACAGCAUCUUUAUGAUUCAUUUGAGAUAGAACCAGGAGUUUUUGAGUUUGCUAAAGCAAUAACAUCAGAUGAUCUUGAAGUAAUACAAAAGUUUCUCGAAGAUGCUGUUGAAUCCAGUUCUGAAGGGCUGAUUGUCAAAACAUUAAAUAGAGAUGCUACCUAUGAGCCUUCAAAACGGUCCCACAAUUGGCUGAAAUUGAAAAAGGAUUACAUGGACAGCCUUGGUGACUCAUUAGAUUUAGUACCUAUUGCUGCAUUCCAUGGCCGUGGGAAACGUACAGGUUUCUAUGGUGCCUUUCUCCUUGCUUGUUAUGAUGACAAGAAUGAAGAAUUUCAAAGUAUUUGCAAAAUAGGCACCGGAUUUUCUGAAGCAAUGCUCGAGGAGUGUUCCAAUAGUGUUCGUACUAAAGUGAUCCCAAAACCCAAGCCAUAUUUUCGGUGUGGAGAUACAAUCAAUCCAGAUGUGUGGUUUGAACCAUCUGAGGUUUGGGAGGUGAAAGCUGCGGAUUUGACCAUUAGUCCUGUUCAUUGUGCUGGAAUUGGUGUUGUGGAUCCAAAUAAGGGCAUCUCUCUCCGAUUUCCACGUCUAGUUCGUGUGCGAAAAGAUAAAAUCCCUGAGCAAGCUACAUCAUCUGAUCAGGUUGCUGAUAUGUAUCGUGCUCAAAAGCAUAAUGGUGCUAACAAUCAGGAUGAAGAUGAGAACGAAGAUGAUUAAGACCAGGAUUUCACUUUCUUUGAGCUCAUUUUAAGCAGGCAGCUUUUAAGCCCAGUAGUGCCAUCUUUUACUAGUUUUGUUGUUGUGAGAUUAUAUGGGGACAUGAAUUGUGCUAUGAGCAGUCUCGCACUGGUGUUCCUUUGAUGCUGGAUGGUGGUAGCCAAUCAAAGGCACACUGAAUGAGCAAAACAUGUUUGUAUAUACUGAUGUACCUUCAGCAAUCCUGUUGUCAAUUGAUUAGGUAAGGCCUUCGGGUUUUUUUUAUUU